AUGUUUGGUACACUCACUUGUCGUGGUUGACGCGUGGCAAGCUGGACCGGCGCUCCGCUGCAGCAGAUAGGUACCGCCUUACGUUCGCUUUGAUCUGUGGGUCUGCAAUGUUGAUACAUUUGUCACAUAUAUCUCAUCACAUUUACAAUUUAAUUUACUAAUGUACCAUAUAAUGUUGAACAAAGUUUGUGCAAAACACUACACAGGAUCAAUUUCUACACCUUACAUAGUGCGAUAUUAGAUUAUUAAAGGGAACAAAGCCACUGUGAACGAGGGUUAUCCCAGCCCUGAUCCCGAGAGCCACCUAUAAAAUUACACCGCGUAUCGCAAUUCUUAUUUGUGGCGGCUUACUUCGCAAACUCGACCAAACCACUCGGGGAUAAACGAAUUUUAUUACUUGCAGGCAGCCGGCACGCCACACUCCUAUCCCGAAUGUCAUAGCUCAACCAAAUAUCUGAUAUGUAGCCCUAGGUAUCUCAUAAAUUCAGUUUAAAAUAGGACUCACCCUUUUUCAGUCUUAAAGUGACGGGAUCCGAUGAAAGUCGUAAGCAUUUUAAAACUGGAACAAUCAAUCACAAUAAUUGAUAAGAAAAUUGUCAUUGUAUACAAAUUAAGUACAAUUAUUGCUACUCGUAUUAUUAUUGGAACGUUCAUCGACUACGCAACUAAAGUGCGAAGGACCCGAACGGCAUCCAAUCAUUUGUAUAUUUUUGUGUAGAUAGCAUCUAGAUUGCACGUUGUCGGAAAUCAAUUUUGGCAUCGGCAAUAAAGAGGUUAUUUUCUGAUUGUAAAGCUGUAACCAGACUUGUACAAGUGUGAAGAGUGAAUUGCGAGGUUGCGUGUCGGCAAGGAACAUUUUUAUUCCUACGUGUCGAGCUCGGGGCGGCUGUAACGCGAUCAUUGAAUUAGUGUUCAUAACGUCAGAUAGCGGUCGAACUUGAUGUUUUAAUAGCCGAAUAUUAUUCUCUACUCUACAUUGUUCAAGAGGUUAACUAUUUAAAUACCUACCUAAUUCGCGUACAUGCAUAUUAUUUCGAGUCACAGUGGCUGUUCAUUAUAAUAUUACUCAGAUGACCUAAUUUAAGAUGUUAACGUUACGUGCAUUUGAGUACUUUUAGUGCUUCAUAUAAAAACAUCUUAGAUAAAUAAAUAGCAUAUGGGUGAUAAAAUGGCAAAUUCUUUACCUUCUCGGGUAGUGAACCGGUUUACAUCAGUCCCAUUGACCUUGAGCAAUACGUCUCCCGCCUCUACCUGCAAUUGAACACACGCAUUCAUAUUGUUUAUUUACUUGAUAUCAGAUUGCAUUCGCUACUUAUGAAGUUAUUAAUGAUAUAACAGAUUCUGUUAAAGAAGGAAGAUAGCCAAGGACGGCGUGUCGUAAACAGUAAAGGUUUUCAAAAAUUAUAAGCCGGUCACGUCUGCAGUAAAUACACAUUUGGCAUUGAUGGUGUGCUUAGUUAUUUGUGAAAAUAUGCUGUAGUGAGGCAAAUAGCAACACAAUAUUAUAUUGUUAAUCAGGUAGAGUUACACACCGCAUUAUAACAGAUUAUUUAUUUAAGUCGUGGUUGAUAGGCAAGUGUCUAGUACACGUAUAUUAAUUUGUAGUUAUAUUAACUUGUAUACGAAUAUAAUUACCACAUAAAAUUAAUUAUAUUUGCACUUAUUACCCAAUUACUAAAUGGAUACCUUAACACACUAGAAUAUUUUUGUUCGAGUCCAAUUAAACGAGGUUUCGAUUUGUCAUUGGUUCCGUCUUAUUAAGAUCAAUAAUAGUCUAUUAAACAAAGUAGCUCGACUACACAAAACGUACAUGAACCUAGUGUAUGAAGUCCGCUAAGUGCUUUUUCUGUUUUUACACUAUCGCGGUCACCAGCCAGUGAAUACAGUUUAAUUUUUAAUUCGAUGAAUGUUUGCACACGAGUCACGAGCCUUGGCGCUGCCAAAAUAUUAAACGCCACAGUAGUCCGUUGCAGGAAAAUAGCCGCCGUUGGCGAUAAUUUCACGGACACCACUAACACUAAUCAGUAUUACUACAUCCUCGCACUGCAGUCUAUGAUUCACUGAGGCACGUUCUGAUACGUACAACUGGUUUUUGAAAAAUACCACACUCGACUCGUUACUAAGUAUCAGCUACAGCCGAAUAUUUGUACGAGUGCCAGGCAGGUCGUAUAGCGAUCUAAAGCAACCUUCAAUUCUACGAGUGUCAACAGUGACUCAUAAAUUACAAUUGCUACGAGCACACUGACAUACAUUGGAUAAUUCAACAGUUCACGGUUAAAUUGUGAAUGAGUGAAAUAACAUGUUUUAUGUAAACUUUACAAUACAAACAAACAAAGAAUACGUAAUGACCAGAUGCACCGUUCGCAAUGAUCCGUCAUCACCGUCAACGUAGCAUGCAUUCUGUUGCGUGGUGCGAAGUAUAGAAUGAACGUGAUCUAAGAGUAAUUAUAAUCGACACAUGAAGCGAAAGUAGGUGGUUACAUAGCGAUCGAUCCCUAAUUGGAGCCUUGGAGCUAACAAACCUAUUUGUGAAAACUAAUUUUAUGCCUUUUCCACGAGGUCGACCCAAGAUAAAUUGAAUUUAUGAGCAUAUUAUACACGCUCUCAUCUCCAUAAACCAGAAUUAUAUGGAAGAAGCUCAUACUUUAGUCGUUGCUAAUAUUAAAAGUUGUUAAUAUACUUCUUGAGAAGAAAUUGAUGUAGUAAAUUAUUAUUUAUUCACAACGUGCAAUUAGCGCAUGAAUGAAUGCAUGAAUAUGCGUGAAGCGAAAGUGACUAAGCCAAGAUAAAGGAGAGUUGAUGUUUUGGUUGAAUUGGUAUGUUUUUCUUUUUGAAGAUUAAUCUAUCACAAUUGUUAGUAAAUUAGCUUCAAAGUCUACAAUAAAAAAAAUAUGUAAAGAUUUAUAAUAGACCAGAACAAUGUGAAUGAAAAGUCAUAACAAA